rnacentral:rRNA from 1 species
AUUGAACGCUGGCGGCAGGCUUAACACACGCAAGUCGAGCGGGGGAAGGUAGCUUGCUACCGGACCUAGCGGCGGACGGGUGAGUAAUGCUUAGGAAUCUGCCUAUUAGUGGGGGACAACAUCUCGAAAGGGAUGCUAAUACCGCAUACGUCCUACGGGAGAAAGCAGGGGAUCUUCGGACCUUGCGCUAAUAGAUGAGCCUAAGUCGGAUUAGCUAGUUGGUGGGGUAAAGGCCUACCAAGGCGACGAUCUGUAGCGGGUCUGAGAGGAUGAUCCGCCACACUGGGACGGAGACACGGCCCAGACUCCUACGGGAGGCAGCAGUGGGGAAUAUUGGACAAUGGGGGGAACCCUGAUCCAGCCAUGCCGCGUGUGUGAAGAAGGCCUUAUGGUUGUAAAGCACUUUAAGCGAGGAGGAGGCUACUCUAGUUAAUACCUAGGGAUAGUGGACGUUACUCGCAGAAUAAGCACCGGCUAACUCUGUGCCAGCCGCCGCCGUAA